GUCGCAGACAAAAUUUGGUAUAUAUAGCUGUUAUGGCAAAGAGUGAGAUGAAAAGUAUUAGUGUUGUUGUUGUGAUGAUGAUUAUGUUAGGUUUCUCAGAAACAGCUAAACUCUCAUGUCCAGCACAAUGUGGGAUAGGUUGUGUUCUAGCUAAUCUUGCUUAUCCAAUAUGUUUUGUACUUUGUGUUUCAAAGUGUCCUAAGUUGUCUAAAGAAGCUUUACAAUGUAUGAGUCACUGUGGGCUUAACAAGUCCAUAGACAUAAACAUUGAUGCUAACGGUAUUGUUUUUAAAGUCAUGGAUUCUUGCUUACAGAAGUGCCCACUCAAUUAGUAUUUUUCUUAGUUGGAAUAUUCAUGAAUAAAGUUGCUGAUUGAAUGAUAUUCAUGCAUGAUGUAAUUAAUAAGAAUGUAAUGAAGUGAAGAAAAAAAUUUGGACACAUUUUCUA